rnacentral:rRNA from 1 species
AUUACAGAAGGUUGACCUCGGAUCAGGUAGGACUACCCGCUGAACUUAAGCAUAUCAAUAAGCGGAGGAAAAGAAACAACAGGGAUUGCCCUAGUAACGGCGAGUGAAGCGGCAACAGCUCGAAUUUGAAAUCUGGCCUCGGCCCGAGUUGUAAUCUGUAGAGGACGCUUUUGGCGCGGUGCCUUCCGAGUUCCCUGGAACGGGACGCCACAGAGGGUGAGAGCCCCGUAAGGUCGGACACCAAGCCUGUGUAAAGCCCCUUCGACGAGUCGAGUAGCUUGGGAAUGCUGCUCUAAGCGGGAGGUAUACUUCUUCUAAAGCUAAAUAUUGGCCAGAGACCGAUAGCGCACAAGUAGAGUGAUCGAAAGAUGAAAAGCACUUUGAAAAGAGGGUCAAAUAGUACGUGAAAUUGUUGAAAGGGAAGCGCUUGUGAUCAGACUCGCGCCGGGCGGAUCAUCCAGUGGUCUCCACUGGUGCACUCCGGCCGGCGCGGGCCAGCGUCGGCUGUUGCGGGGGGACAAAAGCACUGGGAACGUAGCUCUCUCCGGGGAGUGUUAUAGCCCUCUGCAGAAUACCCCCGCGGCGGCCGAGGUCCGCGCAUUGCAAGGACGCUGGCGUAAUGGUCAUCAGCGACCCGUCUUGAAACACGGACCAAGGAGUCGAGGUUUUGCGCGAGUGUUCGGGUGCAAAGCCCCAACGCGUAAUUAACGUGAACGUAGGUGAGAGCUUCGGCGCAUCAUCGACCGAUCCUGAUGUAUUCGGAUGGAUUUGAGUAGGAGCGUAAAGCCUCGGACCCGAAAGAUGGUGAACUAUGCCUGUAUAGGGUGAAGCCAGAGGAAACUCUGGUGGAGGCUCGCAGCGGUUCUGACGUGCAAAUCGAUCGUCAAAUAUGGGCAUGGGGGCGAAAGACUAAUCGAACCAUCUAGUAGCUG